AUAAAAUACAAAUUAAUUACGUUUAAACCCGUAGCCACAGAAGGUGCCAGCCCUGUCGAUUUGUGUAUUGUUAUUUUUGGUAGCUUCUCAGAGUCGUGUUGCUUGAAAGUGCAGCGCAAAGUUGGUGAUAAACAUCAUCUAAGGCUAAAUAUCCCCAUGAAUCCGAUAGCGAACAAGUACUGUGAAGGAAAGUUGCAAAGCACUCCGAAGAGAGAGUUAAAGAGGACGUGAAACCGAUACGAUGGAAGCGCACAGAGCCAGUCGCAUUGACAUUAAUUUAUUGGUGUUUCUAAGUGUGAAACAUUUGAUUGCUUUUGUUGCCCGCACUCUAGGUCGCGAAAUUUAUUUUUCGUAGUUGGAGGGCACGAAGACAUAAGUAGUUAAAUUGUAGAUUGGGGAAGGUUAGUUGAUGUAUUGUGRUUUUUUGAUGAUUCACUUGUGUUUGACUCUUAAAAUUAUUUUACUGAUAUUAGYCCAACUAGUCGUUUUUACAUAGCCCUGGUAUGCUGUACGUCCCGUCUUGAAACACGGACCAAGGAGUGUAUUGCUAUGGCGAGUCAUUAAUAUUGUUAAUAUUAAAGGCGUAUUGAAAAAGAUUCUACUUGUGAUGUAGUUAAAUACAGCAACAAGGACGUGGGCAUGAUAUUUAUAUCCGUCCGCAGUUAGAGCCAUAGUAGUGCGACCCGAAAGAUGGUGAACUAUGCUAGCGCAGGGUGAAGUCAGAGGAAACUCUGAUGGAAGCUCGAAGCGGUCCUGACGUGCAAAUCGGUCGUAUGACGUUAGUAUAGGGGCGAAAGACUAAUCGAACCAUCUAGUAGCUGGUUCCUCCCGAAGUUUCCCCCAGGAUAGCUGGAAUCGCAUGUAGAUACAUCCGGUAAAGCCAAUGUUUAGAGGAAUAGGGGACAACAUGUUCUUUAUCUAUUUACAAACUCUAAAUGGGUGUGAUAUCGCGAUUACUUAAUUGAAUCGUGGUCUCGAUUACAUGGUUCCAAGUGGGCCAUUUUUGGUAAGCAGAACUGGCGACGUGGGAUGAACCAAAAGCAUCGUUAAAGUGCCUAAGGUUUGCUCAUCAGACCCCAUAAAGGGUGUUGUUUGAUCUAGACAGCAGGUCGGUGGCCAUGGAAGUCGGAACCCGCUAAGGAUCGUGUAACAACUCACCUGCCGAAUCAAGCAGCCCCGAAAAUGGAUGGCGCUUGAGCAAACCACUUAGACGGUGCCGUUAAACUAAUUUAAUUUAGAGUUUAACGUGUAGGGGGGCGUAGUGAUUGCGUCGAAGGUUAUGAGCGUAAGCUCGACUGGAGCAUUCAUUAGUGCAGAUCUUGGUGAUAGUAGCAAAUACACAAGUGAGACUCUUGUGGGCCGAAGUGGGAAAGGGUUUCAUGUCAACAUCAUUUGGCUAUGAGUUAGUCGGUCCUAAGCGUACCCUGAAAAGGCAUAUAUAACGCGAAAGGGAAGUAGAUUAAUAUUUCUACACCGUUUAUGGAGAAAAUGAGAUGCAAGUCUUAUUUUGCGUGGUAACACAAAUGAAAUUGGUUACAUCUUAUUAAGCCCCGGCUAGAGAUCUCUUCUCUAGUUAAGUGUUACCGUCCACGGAAUUUGCUCAGCAAGAGAUGUGGACUAAGACACGCAGAGUAGUGCUAUUUUGGCGCUAUCCGGUAUGCUUAGUAGGAUCCUUAAAACACCAAUGGAAGCAUAAUAAAUUUCAUAAACGGCCGUACCCAUAUCCGCAGCAGGUUUCCAAGAUGUCUAGUCUCUGGUCGAUGAAAUAAUGUAGGUAAGGGAAGUCGGCAAAAUAGAUUCGUAACUUUGGGAAAAGAAUUGGCUCUUGGGAUGUGGAAUAAUGGGAAUUUUAUUGAAGUGAAAACAGUAAUAGAUGGCUGGAAAUAGCAAUAUUUUUGGAACUCUACUAUCAUUUUCAUGGAUAAAUUAUUCUUUAACGUUGUUCAAUUAUAAACAUCAACCAAGAACUGGCACGGACUCGAGGAAUCCGACUGUCUAAUUAAAACAGAGGAGACAGAUGAUGCGAGAGCAUGUAGACUGUGUCUGAUUUCUGCCCAGUGCAAUGAAUGUUAUAAUGGUGAAAGCCAUUGAAGCUCUUGUAAACGGCGGGAGUAACUAUGACUCUCUUAAGGUAGCCAAAUGCCUCGUCGGGUAACUUCCGACGCGCACGAAUGGAUUAACGAGAUUCCUACUGUCCCUAUCUACCAUUCAGCGAAAUCACAGCCAAGGGAACGGGCUUGGCAGAAACAGCGGGGAAAGAAGACCCUGUUGAGCUUGACUCUAGCUAGGCAUUGUGAAGUGUCAUGUGAGGUGUAGUAUAGGUGGGAGUAGCUUGCUACGUACUUGAAAUACCACUACUUACAUCGAUGCUUUACUUAGUCGAUUAAAUGGAGACGUAAUUUAUUACUUUUCUUGUAUUAAAUAAAUUGUUUUGAACAAUUUAUGAUCCACGUCGACGAUCGUGUCUGGCGGGGAGUUUGACUGGGGCGGUACAUCUAUCAAACCGUAACGUAGGUGUCCUAAGGCAGGCUCAGAGAGGACAGAAACCUCUCGUAGAGCAAACAGGCAAAAGCUUGCUUGAUCAUGAUUUUCAGUACGAAUACAGACCCUGAAAGGGUGGCCUAUCGAUCCUUUUGUGUUAGUAUGUUUCUAAAAAGAGGUGCCAGAAAAGUUACCACAGGGAUAACUGGCUUGUGGCAGCCAAG
rnacentral:rRNA from 1 species